rnacentral:misc_RNA from 1 species
UCCCGUUUGACACGGGCAGUCCCUCUAGAGUGCCCAACUAAAUGAUGGCAACUAGAGGCAAGGGUUGCGCUCGUUGCGGGACUUAACCCAACACCUCACGGCACGAGCUGACGACAGCCAUGCAGCGCCUGUACAGGGGUCCUUUCGGAAGGGGCUAUCUCUAGCCCUGUCCCCCAUAUGUCAAACCUGGGUAAGGUUCUUCGCGUAGCGUCGAAUUAAACCACACGCUCCACCGCUUGUGCGGGUCCCCGUCAAUUCUUUUGAGUUUCACCCUUGCGAGCGUACUCCCCAGGCGGUAUACUUAUCGCGUUAGCUUCGACACAACCGGGGUUGAGUCCGGUUACAUCUAGUAUACAUCGUUUACGGCGAGGACUAC